UCUUCCGUAGUAUAGUGGUCAGUAUAUGAGCUUGUCAAUCCUAACAGAUCAACUCGCUCGGGACCCGGGUUCAAUUCCCGGCGGGAGAG